GCGAACGCUGGCGGCAGGCCUAACACAUGCAAGUCGAGCGGCCGUAGCAAUACGGCAGCGGCAGACGGGAGAGUAACACGUGGGAACGUACCUUUCAGUUCGGAACAACCCAGGGAAACUUGGGCUAAUACCGGAUACGCCCGUAAGGGGAAAGAUUUAUCGCUGAAAGAUCGGCCCGCGUCUGAUUAGCUAGUUGGUGAGGUAAUGGCUCACCAAGGCGACGAUCAGUAGCUGGUCUGAGAGGAUGAUCAGCCUCACUGGGACUGAGACACGGCCCAGACUCCUACGGGAGGCAGCAGUGGGGAAUAUUGGACAAUGGGCGAAAGCCUGAUCCAGCCAUGCCGCGUGGAUGAUGAAGGCCCUAGGGUUGUAAAGUCCUUUCGACGGGGAAGAUAAUGACGGUACCCGUAGAAGAAGCCCCGGCUAACUUCGU
rnacentral:rRNA from 1 species